UCGAGAUCAGCAGACGACAUUCAUCGACAAAAAUUCUUUUUCUUCGAGACGCUGUCCGAGAAGGUUACCUUAGCCAUUGGAUCAUGGCGGCUUUCUUUCCUGACGUUUUUCGUCAAUGCCUGGUGAAGUCUGAGCUUCUUCAUACAUUACGUGUACGUGAUCGCUGUCUUGUCAUGAAGAGGGUCUCCACUAAUUUGCAAGACAAUUAAGAUGAAAAGAGGAAAUUUGAAAAGGGUUCCUUGUUCGGUUUGAGCUGUUAAUGGUGUGUAUUGCAGUCAUUCCGUCGAGAGAUGCCCUGAGAUAACUACUAAGACUUCCCUCACAUCAUCGUCCUUUUAAAUGGAGAUGCUGUCCGAGAAGGCUUGGAUUGGCCAUUGCAGGCAAUUUUCUCUCGACAUUACAAGUUUUAGAAAUGUAAACUAAUGGGAUCAUGGUUUUUAACUUCUACUUGCAUGGUCAUAAGGUAUGCUGUGCAUUUUCCCCAAAAUGUCGUCUCUUGGUUCAUGUUGCACGUUUCGUCACAUUAAGAAUAACAGUCUGGUGAAGUCCAAGCUUUUCAUUGCGCUUCGUGUACGUGAUCGCUGCCGUUUAAUGAAGGUUCUCUAAGUGGGUCUCCGGCCUCUUAGACUUGUUGCAGCGAGCUCUGGUGAAGGAUGUGGUGAGCUGUUGCAUGACGACCAUGUGCUGGUGUGGGGAAGUGCUGGAAUGUAUCUGUGGUUUCCAUUGUCAGUUAGAUGUAUGAGCUAAUUAUGUUGUUGCUCUGUGGUAUGCAGUUCAUGUUAAGGUGGUUUUGUUGCAGCCGCUGCUGCUGAAAGGGAGUCCAAGUCGAGUUGAGCUGCAGCUUUUGAAGCAGUUAACAAUGCUGAUGUUAUUCUGAAAUGUAACAUCAAUGAAGACAUCUUGAAAUGGUCUUGGUGAAGACGUCAUCAUCGAUCUUCUGCAUACAGUUUUUGUUAUCAAGAAGUGGAAGUAAGACUUGAAGCAAAGCUGCAAGAAAAUAAAUGGUAUCGACGUUAAUGUGCAGUGGUUUUACAGUCCGACUCCUGUUCAAACUGUUGCUUUCCUGAAUUUUGCCGGAGUCCUUGCAGUAGCUGAUCCUGAAGUUAUGAUGUCGGGGUUAUUCUGGAGUAGCUGUUGUUGAUGUCUUAAUUUACUGUGCAAGUUCAAUUCGGGUUGAUAAAAAUAUUAAUAUCCAUGUAGUAUGUGAUAUAGUAACCUUAAGCUAUUUUGUUAUCCAUUGUGGUAUGUUGUGAACUGAUCUUGGUCUAAACAUAAGUUGUGCUUCCUGAUAUUUCCCUCACCCAUAUUUAUCAAAUAACUCUUAAAUAAUGGGAUGUAAAAGAAAAGUUGAAAUUUUUCGUUGUGCGUUGGAAAUUUAUAUGAUAUAUUUUCCACAAUUACAUGUGAAAUGCCAAAAUAAAUAGAAAAACAAC